GGUCUCGUGGUGUGGUUGGUAUUACAUUUGACUGUCAUGUUCAGUUCACUGUUCGUCACCAGUUCGACUCUGGUCAAAGGGACCU